UGGGUAAUCUGCCCUCGAUUCUGGGAUAGCCCGGGGAAACCCGGAUUAAUACCGGAUAGCCUCUCGAGCUUUCGAGCUCGUGAGAAAAGGUAGCUUCGGCCUCCGAUCGAGGAUGAGCCCGCGGCGGAUUAGCUUGUUGGUGGGGUAAUGGCCUACCAAGGCGACGAUCCGUAGCUGGUCUGAGAGGACGAUCAGCCACACUGGGACUGAGACACGGCCCAGACUCUUACGGAAGCAG
rnacentral:rRNA from 1 species